ACGAUUCCUUGCAAUAUUAGCUUUUAAGUAUUUGGAUCAUUUAGAUUUUAUUUAAAUACUCGUUUUUUUAAAAUAUAUGUAAUCCGAUUUAUUAGAAUAUAUAUAAAUCUGUUCAAUUUAAAAAGUAUUAGAUUUAAUCAGUUAAAAUUUAUGAAUAUGAAUUAAAUAAAUCUAGCCGUGAAACAAACCAGAUAAAUUCUAUGAGAUUGGUUUACAUACAAAUUUCAGGAAACUGACUUUAGUAGAAGCGGAAAUGACGUCUAUUCACACUCCAGUCAGGAGGUGGCGCCAAAAUCAAAAAUAGACGCUACAGCACAUGGACUUCGCCAUUUUGUAUUGGACUGGAUCGUCAUCUCACUAGUCUACAAUCGCCAAAUUGUAGGUGAGUAAAGUUAACAAGUUUGAUGUGAUUAUCUUAAAUAUAAUUGUCUGUUGUUUAAUUACAUGUGUGACGCGUUGCAUGUUUCAGAGUAAAAUACACCUCACUACACAGACGUUUUGUUGGAAUGUAAGUUAACCUGCAGUGUCUGUUGCUUUUAUUGGUUAAUUUUUGUGGUUUAAUGUUUGAAACCUAAGAAAUAAAUAAAGUCAUAGGCUACUGUAAGCUAAUCAGAAUAAAAUUAUCAUAUAAUCUCUGUGACUUUAUUAACAAAAGAAUGUUACAAUUAUACUAUGUUGUUGAGUGCAUUGUGUGUCUAUCUAAAACUUUUUUUUUUUACAGAUACAGCAUCAUUUCAUUGUCUAUAUGGUGGGACAACCUGCUAGACAGGUUGAAGACAUCUGUAUCUACCUCAAAGAAGGCAUGGAGAGACACAUUAAAGAAUAUGUGAAUUGUGAAAUUGGUGAGUUGGGGAUUGCACAGACAGUGGAAGUUCUGCAAAACCUACUUGCUGUCACACAUGGGUGUGAAAUUGUUUUUUGGACUCAUUUAUGCACUUAAACUGACCUACCUGAAGAACCUCAAGUUCACCUUUGACGCGUUUCAAAAAAUCCUAAUGGAACUGGACUUGAUACAACCAAGCAAUCACUGAAAGAUGCUUCAGUGAAAAACUGACAAACACGCUGAUACAUCCCCCUCAAAGUGGGUACAUUUUUGUACAUUUAUAAGUGAAUUUUUUAACAUUUAAAGGAAUAUGACACUUUCAUUAAACAAAAAUCUUGAUAAUUUACUGUCUGUCAUCCAAGAUGUUUGUCUUUUUUGUUCAGUCGAGAAGAAAUUACGGGUUUUUUUUUUUGUUGAGAAAAACAUUCCAGGAUUUUUCUUAAUUUAAUAGACCUUAUUGGACAAACAGUUUAGUUUCAAUGCAGUUUAAAAUUGCAGUUUCCAAGCAGCUUUAAAGGGCUCUAUAUGAUCCCAACCGAGGCAUAAGGGUUUUACCUAUCCAAAAGAAUAUCAUUUUCGGCAAGAAAACUUUUAAAACACAAGUUCUUGUCUUGCAUUAUCCAUGUGACACACCAGUGCGACAUUGCGUACUACGUAAUAACCUUGAAUGGUUACACAUCACAAAUGUGAAAUGCACAUUUGUGGACCAUUUUAAAUAAUAAAUGGACCCAAAGACAUUAAUUAGUAUCAUUCCACAUACAACACCAUCUGAACGCUCCUCUUUCUCCUCACUUGUAAAAACUGGAGCGGUAGUUUCAAUUAUCUCAUGCUAGCGUGUCUCACAGCUAGUGCAAAACGUUGUGAUUUAAAAGUCCUCUUUUAUUUUUAUUUUUGAAAAUGACAAUCGUUUAGCUAGAUAAGACCCUUAUGCCUUAUUUGGGAUAAUUUAGAGCCCUUUUAAAUCUGCAUUGAAACUGUUAACUUGAGGUCGAAUAAAGUCUUAAAUUGAGAAAAAUCCUGGAAUGUUUAACUCAAACUUUAUUUCUUCUUGACUGAACAAAGUAAAACAUAAACAUAUGGUGUGAGAAAAUUAUCGGGAUUUUUGUUUUAUUAAAUUGGAAUAUUCCUUUAACAAUUUUAAAAGUUGAAAAGUUGAUGUAUAUCUAACAUGUAAUUAAAGAUGCAUGAAAAUUGUUAAUGGCACACAGCCACUCAAAACACUAAGCCAUGUGCCAUUUUUUUCAUUCUAAAUUAUUAUUACAUCAUGUCACAGAUUUCUGAAAAUGUUAAAGUAAUGUUGUUGUCCCUGAUUUAUUUUCUGCAGCCUGUUAAAAUGUCUGCUCUUAUUUGUGGAAUGAGGUUGAUUGUGGCUGAAAUGUCUGAAACACACUUAUUUAUUUAUUUAUUUUUGCACACAAUACGAGGUGUAUAAGCCAUAGUAUCAUGCUAGUUGCUAGCUGCUCUUUUUUGCUGCCUUAUGAGUAAUGCCUUGAAGUAUUAAAUAAAUUGAUAAAAUGUAAAACCAAGUGGUCUGGCUAUUCUUUUUUUUUUGUGUUAUUUUGUUAUAGCAUAUUGUGAUUUAGGAGAGUGAAUGGGGAGGAAUAUAUACAAAUGUAUAAAUGGUAUAUUAGUAAGAUACCUAAAUGUAAUGCAUUUUAAGUGAAUUGGGGUUAUUAAUAAAGAAUACAUAAUCCAUUUUUUUUAU